rnacentral:rRNA from 1 species
CCGAAGAAAAAGCAUCGGCUAACUCCGUGCCAGCAGCCGCGGUAAUACGGAGGAUGCAAGCGUUAUCCGGAAUCAUUGGGCGUAAAGGGUCCGCAGGUGGCGAAUAAAGUCUGCUGUUAAAGACCGGGGCUUAACUCCGGAAAGGCAGUGGAAACUGAUUAGCUAGAGUACGGUAGGGGUAGAGGGAAUUCCCAGUGCAGCGGUGAAAUGCGUAGAUAUUGGGAAGAACACCGGUGGCGAAAGCGCUCUACUAGGCCGAAACUGACACUGAGGGACGAAAGCUAGGGUAGCGAAAGGGAUUAGAUACCCCUGUAGUCUUAGAGGUAAACGAUGGAUACUAGGUGUAGCUUGUAUCGACCCAAGCUGUGCCGAAGCUAACGCGAUAAGUAUCCCGCCUGGGGAGUACGCACGCAAGUGUGAAACUCAAAGGAAUUGACGGGGGCCCGCACAAGCGGUGGAGUAUGUGGUUUAAUUCGAUGCAACGCGAAGAACCUUACCAGGGCUUGACAUGUCGCGAAUCUAGCGGAAACGUUAGAGUGCCUUAGGGAAUGCGAACACAGGUGGUGCAUGGCUGUCGUCAGCUCGUGUCGUGAGAUGUUGGGUUAAGUCCCGCAACGAGCGCAACCCUCGUCCUUAGUUGCCAAUAUUAAGUUAGGCACUCUAGGGAGACUGCCGGGGACAACUCGGAGGAAGGUGGGGAUGACGUCAAGUCAGCAUGCCCCUUGCGUCCUGGGCGACACACGUACUACAAUGGUUGGGACAAAGGGCAGCAAGCUCGCGAGAGUAAGCGAAUCUCAUCAAACCCAGCCACAGUUCAGAUUGCAGGCUGCAACUCGCCUGCAUGAAGUAGGAAUCGCUAGUAAUCGCAGGUCAGCAUACUGCGGUGAAUUCGUUCCCGGGUCUUGUACACACCGCCCGUCACACCAUGGAAGCUGGCUACGCCCGAAGUCGUUACCCUAACCCGGUUUUGGGAGGGGGAUGCCGAAGGUAGAGCUAGUGACUGGGGUGAAGUCGUAACAAGGUAGCCGUACCGGAAGGUGUGGCUGGAUCACCUCCUUU